UGAUCCUAGCUGCUCCGUUGGGCCUUGCACCUGGGUGCGUCACGCACUCAGCUGCUGCCUGUCCGCCCUCAAUCACCUGCUGGAACUUCCCCAUCUGGAAAACCAUCACAUCACACCAACUGUUGGACCCCCAUGUACUCUCCUCUGCUUACCUCUACCUGCAGACCUUCCUCCGCUGGCCCGGUUCCUCCCUGCUGUCGCUGAUCGACGCCCCUCCACACGCUCUCCAGCACAUUCUAUUGCUAAAUAAAUCUGUUAAAACUGUUUGGGUGUCCGUAGUUGUUGCUUGCCUUACAGUCCUAGAAACCUCGCAUUGUGACAUUCUCCUAAUUGUUAUGGUGCUUAAUGUUGUCAUUUGGAUGUGUGAUGAUGUCUAAGUAUUUACCUGGUGUAUCUGAAUGAUUAUAUCAAGAUGGUAACUAAUGCUUUCCUGCUAGCAUAAAACUUAAGAUGACAUUUUAAAAAAUCCACUUAAAACAUUAGAUUGUGUAAUAAGAAGUUUGUGACAACUGCAAAAAAAGCAGUUGCUGCUCAUCUCAUAAAGCCACAAAAAAAGUAAAUAUAGAUUUGUAUCAAUUUAUUAUUUAUGAUAGUUUAUAUUAGCAUCAAUAUCAGAAUUAAAAUCUAAAUGGCAUCGAAAAAGAGAUCAAUGAUGUUUAGACAUUUAAUUCAGUCAACAUUGCAGUAAGUAUUUUGCCAGCGAUUUGCAUGAGGAAAAAUCCCAUCUCUUCAUCAUAUUGUUAGGCCUUUCUGCUGUCUGUAACAUCCAUCAUUUAUCUUUGGAGUUCCUCGAUCAAAGCUUGAAGAGACAAAAAUCAACGUCAGUCAUAACAUUUCUAGUAUUUUGUAGUAAAUGCACAGCACACAAUUACAACCUAAUGUUGGACAUGACUUUAAAUAGCAACUGGAUUUUUUAUGUUUCUUGAAGACAAUUUGAAAACAACUUCUCAACCAAAAUAGUUUAAAACCUUACCUUUGAUAAUCUCGUCCUUCAUCUUGUUGAGCUCUUUUUUCACCUCUUCUAUAAUCUCCUUAAGACAUGAAAUGGCAUAGUAAUAUCUGUGCAGUUUUUGCAAAAGCAUUAUUCUGUGUUUCGAAACAAAUUAACUUGAUUUCUAAAUUAUUGCAAAAAAGAAAAGCAAACAUUGCUGUCUUGCUGUGAUUGCUGCAACAAACUGAGGAUCUAACCUGUUUGACACGCUCCAUAUCAUCGUCUCCUUCUUCACCAUCUGACUUUUUCUUCACCACUUUCAGCCUGUUGAGGCAAAAGAACACAUUUACUUUCAGUUGAAGCUUAUUUUAAAGCAAAUGCCCAAAAAUAGGCGUAGCAGAGCUCGUUUUAGACAGUUCCAAAAAUUAUUCAUUUUGUCUUGUAGAGGAAAGACAAACAGAAAAAACUCAUGUGAACCCAGAAAGUAGAUGUUUAUAGGGUACACAAAAACAUCACCCACACAUUCCAACUAUUUCUGUCUCUGGCUUCUUGCCAUUUAUGUACUAUCUGCAGCCAAUAAAAGUCAUGAAGGUUGCAUGCUCACUGUAGGCUUGUCUAGUUCAGUUAAUGCUGUCUGCUCUUAUUUCCAAUAAAAAGUACUUCUGAACCAGGGAUUCCCUUUUGUCUGUGUCUCAAACCCAAGCUGGUCAAAUUAGAUGAUCCUUCAUGUUAUGCUUGGUUCUGUUAAAGUUUGUUUCCUGUUAAUGAGUGGUUCUCUUCCACAUGUGAUUCCCAGGAUGAGGGAUUCAGCAAAGUCAAUUACCGAAUGCAAUGACCAAGUAUUCCUUUGAAUACUCUUGUAACCUUUAACCAAUUGGCAUUUUAUGAUUUACUCACUUUGACCAUGUUAUAUUUCAAUCCUGACUAAAUCGAAAUGUGCAUAUAAUUGAAUCUUGUUUCAACUAUGAUUGGAUUGAAUUUGAUUUAUUGAAUCUAUCAAAUAGGAUUCCAUAUAAUUGUAUAUGAACUGGAAUUCUCACACAGUCUGUCAAUGUGCUUAAAUCCAUUUUAGAGGAACAGGUGGGGGAAAAAAAAUACUUUAAAGAAAUCUAUUUUUAUUUCAACUGA